AAACACUCAAGCUCUGCUUGGCGAUGGGGGCGGCGUCGCCGUCACCCGCAAUCCGUGGGCGGAGGCCGCCGUGCGUCGGAGUAGUGAACACUUUCUUCAGAAUGCACGGAGGGUUUCCAGCCAAACGUCAAUCUACAA
rnacentral:misc_RNA from 1 species